rnacentral:rRNA from 1 species
GCAAGUCGAGGGGUAACAGGGUUUGCUUGCAAUCCGCUGACGACCGGCGCACGGGUGCGUAACGCGUAUACAAUCUACCUUUUACAGAGGGAUAGCCCAGAGAAAUUUGGAUUAAUACCUCAUGGCAUUAUAAAUUGGCAUCAAUAUAUAAUUAAAACUUCGGUGGUAAAAGAUGAGUAUGCGUUCUAUUAGCUAGUUGGUACGGUAACGGCGUACCAAGGCGACGAUAGAUAGGGGGCCUGAGAGGGAGAGC